AAACACCAUUAAGUGAACAACAAAGCCACGAGAAAGUAAAAGACAAAGAAAUUACAGAAAAAUUCUGACAUUAAAUAUCGAGAAUAAGAAGAAUGCAAUGUAUAUGCUGCACACACCCCCCAAAAACCUGCAUAUGUAUAUUAAUGCAUUAAUUCAUGCAAAGAAACAUGAACAAAAUUUGUAGAAAGGUAAAAUAAAAAGUAUUGAACCUCUCUCAACUAGAUCCAGGUACUUUUAGGAAAUCCAAGGGAAAGUAACUAUUUAUAACAGGUUAUAGCAAACAAAAGGAUAAAAGAACAGGCCUUCACUUUCUAAUCACCGUCAAACUAGAUUAAGAUAUGUUUCCACUCAAAACAUCCUAAAAAUUCAUGCAGAAUUGCAGACAGCAAUACAAGGUUACUAAUCACCAAGAUACACAUCAGUGCAGUGCCAACAAAAAAAGUAUCAAUAACAACAAAAAAUAAUUUGUUAGAA
rnacentral:misc_RNA from 1 species